rnacentral:lncRNA from 1 species
AUGCGUGUUGUGGAUUCCAAAUGGCGGAUGCAUACUCAAGUUUUGGUCUGAUCAAUGAUUUGUAAGCAAGUAGGUUUACAUAUUGAGG